rnacentral:lncRNA from 1 species
UGGGGAGUUCGAUUCCUGGUUGGAGCAACCAAGUGAUGUAAUAACCAGAAUAGGGGCCAAAUGUCAACUUCAGAAACUUUAUCCUUUAAUUAUUAUAAAUGCAGUCAAUUUUUUUAUUUAAUCAAAUCUUGUUAACUAAUAUUACGCCACUGCAUAUGUCAAUCAAGCAUAAUAUAAACCUAGCAUUGCCCUCCAUGGCACAUCCAAGUUGGCGGAAGAAUCACAUUGGGGGCUCUGGAACCAAGUGUGGGGAGUUCGAUUCCUGGUUGGAGCAACCAAGUGAUGUAAUAACCAGAGGAAAGGUUGGAGCAGCUUGGUGAUAUAAUAACCAUGGAGGAGGGUCCCUUUGGGGAAGGAGUAAAAGCCAUGUGGGAACCUGGGAACCAACAAGGGCACAACCUGCGAUUUACCUCCACUAGUCACUGAGGGGCCGGGGGCUAGAGGUCCAGGAUUUAGUCCGGCUAAACUGGGACACCUGGGUUAUAAAAAAAAAAAAAAAAAAAAAAAAAAA